AUUGAACGCUGGCGGCAGGCCUAACACAUGCAAGUCGAACGAGUGGCGGACGGGUGAGUAAUGUCUGGGAAACUGCCUGAUGGAGGGGGAUAACUACUGGAAACGGUAGCUAAUACCGCAUACCAUCAGAUGUGCCCAGAUGGGAUUAGCUUGUUGGUGGGGUAACGGCUCACGCAGGCGACGAUACCUAGCGGGUCUGAGAGGAUGACCAGCACCGCUGGAACGGAGACACGGUCCAGACUCCUACGGUAGGCAGCGUUGGAGAAUAUUGCACAAUGGGCGCAAGCCUGAUGCAGCCAUGCCGCGUGUAUGACGAAGGCCUUCGGGUUGUAAAGUACUUUCAGCUGGGAGGCGUUACCCGCAGAAGAAGCACCGGCUAACUCCGUGCCAGCAGCCGCGGUAAUUC
rnacentral:rRNA from 1 species